rnacentral:rRNA from 1 species
GACGAACGCUGGCGGCGUGCUUAACACAUGCAAGUCGAACGGAAAGGCCCUGCUUUUGUGGGGUGCUCGAUUGGCGAACGGGUGAGUAACACGUGAGUAACCUGCCCUUGACUUUGGGAUAACUUCAGGAAACUGGGGCUAAUACCGGAUAUGAUCUCCUGCUGCAUGGUGGGGGUUGGAAAGUUUCGGCGGUUGGGGAUGGACUCGCGGCUUAUCAGCUUGUUGGUGGGGUAGUGGCUUACCAAGGCUUUGACGGGUAGCCGGCCUGAGAGGGUGACCGGCCACAUUGGGACUGAGAUAGGGCCCAGACUCCUACGGGAGGCAGCAGUGGGGAAUAUUGCACAAUGGGCGGAAGCCUGAUGCAGCAACGCCGCGUGCGGGAUGACGGCCUUCGGGUUGUAAACCGCUUUCGCCUGUGACGAAGCGUGAGUGACGGUAAUGGGUAAAGAAGCACCGGCUAACUACGUG